GAUGAACGUUGGCGGCGUGCCUAAUACAUGCAAGUCGAACGGAGAUUGUAGCAAUACGGUCUCAGUGGCGAACGGGUGAGUAACGCGUUGGUGACCUGCCCCGAAGUGUGGAAUAACAGAUCAAAAGAGCUGCUAAUACCGCAUAAUAUCCAGAGGACUAGAUGCCUUUGGAUUAAAGGAUUUAUUCGCUUCGGGAGGGGCCUGCGUCCCAUCAGCUAGUUGGUAAGGUAAAGGCUUACCAAGGCUAUGACGGGUAGGGGACCUGAGAGGGUGGCCCCCCACAAUGGAACUGAAACACGGUCCAUACACCUACGGGUGGCAGCAGUAGGGAAUAUUAGUAAUGGGCGAAAGCCUGAACUAGCAACGCCGCGUGUGCGAAGAAGGCCUUCGGGUUGUAAAGCACUUUUGAGAGGAUGAGGAAGGACGGUACUCUCAGAAUAAGUCUCGGCUAACUACGUGCCAGCAGCCGCGGUAAACGUAGCGUG
rnacentral:rRNA from 1 species